rnacentral:rRNA from 1 species
GACGAACGCUGGCGGCGUGCUUAACACAUGCAAGUCGAGCGGAAAGGCUCCUUUGGGGGUACUCGAGCGGCGAACGGGUGAGUAACACGUGAGUAAUCUGCCCUUGGCUUCGGGAUAGCCACCGGAAACGGUGAUUAAUACCGGAUAUGACCAGCUACUGCAUGGUGGUUGGUGGAAAGUUUUUCGGCCAGGGAUGUGCUCGCGGCCUAUCAGCUUGAUGGUGAGGUAAUGGCUCACCAUGGCUUCGACGGGUAGCCGGCCUGAGAGGGUGACCGGUCACACUGGGACUGAGACACGGCCCAGACUCCUACGGGAGGCAGCAGUGGGGAAUAUUGGACAAUGGGCGGAAGCCUGAUCCAGCAACGCCGCGUGAGGGAUGACGGCCUUCGGGUUGUAAACCUCUUUCAGUACCGACGAAGCGCGAGUGACGGUAGGUACAGAAGAAGCACCGGCCAACUACGUGCCAGCCGCCGCCGUAAUAC